rnacentral:misc_RNA from 1 species
GAUGAAGAACGUAGCGAAAUGCGAUAAGUAGUGUGAAUUGCAGAAUUCAGUGAAUCAUCGAAUCUUUGAACGCACAUUGCGCCCCUUGGUAUUCCAUGGGGCAUGCCUGUUCGAGCGUCAUUUAAACCUUCAAGCUCAGCUUGGUGUUGGGUGACUGUCCGCUUCACCGCGGACUCGCCUCAAAAUUAUUGGCGGCCGGUACAUUGGCUUCGAGCGCAGCAGAAACGCGAACUCGGGCCCGUCGUAUUGGCUCCCAGAAGCUAUCUUCACAAUUUUGACCUCGGAUCAGGUAGGGAUACCCGCUGAACUUAAGCAUAUCAAUAAGCGGAGGA